rnacentral:rRNA from 1 species
GACGAACGCUGGCGGCGUGGAUUAGGCAUGCAAGUCGAGCGGGGUUGAAGCGAGAGGUAACUCGAGCUUCUACCUAGCGGCGGACGGGUGAGUAACGCGUGGGCAACCUGCCUCAAGGUUUGGGAUAACAGCCCGAAAGGGCUGCUAAUACCGGAUAUGCCUAUGGCCUCGCAUGGGGCUAUGAGCAAAGGGGAAACCCGCCUUGAGAUGGGCCCGCGUCCCAUCAGCUAGUUGGUGGGGUAAAGGCUCACCAAGGCGACGAUCUGUAGCGGGUCUGAGAGGAUGAUCCGCCACACUGGGACUGAGACACGGCCCAGACUCCUACGGGAGGCAGCAGUGGGGAAUUUUGGACAAUGGGCGCAAGCCUGAUCCAGCCAUGCCGCGUGCGGGACGAAGGCCUCGGUUGUAAGACUCUGUUAUAAGGACGAACAAGCUUGUCUAGGAAAUAGAGCAGAGUCUGACGGUACGUUUAUUCAGAAAGACCACGGCUAACUAACGUG